UACGUAGGGUGCGAGCGUUAAUCGGAAUUACUGGGCGUAAAGCGUGCGCAGGCGGCGCGUUAAGACAGGUGUGAAAGCCCCGAGCUUAACUUGGGAAUUGCGCUUGUGACUGGCGUGCUGGAGUGUGGCAGAGGGAGGUGGAAUUCCACGGUGAGCAGUGAAAUGCGUAGAUAUGUGGAGGAACACCGAUGGCGAAGGCAGCCCCCUGGGUUAACACCUGACGCUCAUGCACGAAAGCGUGG
rnacentral:rRNA from 1 species